rnacentral:rRNA from 1 species
GACGAACCGUGCGAACGUUAUUCGGAUUCACUGGGCUUAAAGGGCGCGUAGGCGGCUCCGCGAGUCGGGGGUGAAAUCGUUCAGCUUAACUGGACAAGGGCCUCCGAGACCGCGGGACUCGAGGGGGAGUAGGGGUGCGCGGAACUUCCGGUGGAGCGGUGAAAUGCGUAGAUAUCGGAAGGAACGCCGGUGGCGAAAGCGGCGCACUGGAUCCCUACUGACGCUGAGGCGCGAAAGCCAGGGGAGCAAACGGG